UACGUAGGGUGCAAGCGUUGUCCGGAAUUAUUGGGCGUAAAGAGCUUGUAGGCGGUUUGUCGCGUCUGCUGUGAAAUUUCGGGGCUCAACCCCGAACUUGCAGUGGGUACGGGCAGACUAGAGUGUGGUAGGGAGACUGGAAUUCCUGGUGUAGCGGUGAAAUGCGCAGAUAUCAGGAGGAACACCGAUGGCGAAGGCAGCCCCUGGGUUAACACUGACGCUCAUGCCACGAAAGCGUGGGGAGCAAACAGG
rnacentral:rRNA from 1 species